rnacentral:rRNA from 1 species
CCUACGGGCGGCUGCAGUGGGGAAUAUUGCACAAUGGGCGCAAGCCUGAUGCAGCCAUGCCGCGUGUGUGAAGAAGGCCUUCGGGUUGUAAAGCACUUUCAGCGGGGAGGAAGGCGGUGAGGUUAAUAACCUCAUCGAUUGACGUUACCCGCAGAAGAAGCACCGGCUAACUCCGUGCCAGCAGCCGCGGUAAUACGGAGGGUGCAAGCGUUAAUCGGAAUUACUGGGCGUAAAGCGCACGCAGGCGGUCUGUCAAGUCGGAUGUGAAAUCCCCGGGCUCAACCUGGGAACUGCAUUCGAAACUGGCAGGCGAGAGUCUUGUAGAGGGGGGUAGAAUGCCAGGUGGAGCGGUGAAAUGCGUAGAGAUCUGGAGGAAUACCGGUGGCGAAGGCGGCCCCCUGGACAAAGACUGACGCUCAGGUGCGAAAGCGUUGGGAGCAAACAGGAUUAGAUACCCCGGUAGUC